CAGCGUGAUCUUCUGGACGCUCUGCAGGUCAUCGUUGAACUGAGCGAGCAGACGCGUGGACGUGUACUGCUCCAAGCGGAAGAGUUUACUGAGAGAGAGAGAUGGGAAAUCGAGUUCAUGUCAGUGUGAAGGACGUCCACAAACAUGGCGUCCGUAGGGUCCAGCCGCUUGUCUGCUGUGGCGCUGGUGAACAUCGGCCCGGCCGGGUCCAAACCUGCAGGGGUCAAAGGUUUGCACCCACAAAUCCUGCAAGGUGAGCUCCCAGACUGACGCCGAUCAGGUGGACUGAACUCAGAGAGGCUCCUUCCUCCUGCAGACGCAACAUGCACACGUCAGUGUUACAUGCAAGAGAACGAGGAGUCCCAGCAGCAGCUGCAGCAGCACAGUGCCAGACUUCAUCCUUUCUCCAAGCACAGAGCAGAACGAGGGAAGGAAAGAUGUGAAGAGUGAGGAACAAGGACCUGACACUGCAGAGUGAAGGAGGACUGAUGAGAGAAGAAGGCCUGCAGGAGCUCAGUGGGCAGAGUGAAGACAAUGAUGGACGAGCUGCUGGACACCGAGGA